rnacentral:rRNA from 1 species
AAUUUGUGACAAUGGGGGGAACGCUGAUCCAGCCAUCCCGCGUGUGCGACGACGGNCUNNGGGUUNUNAAGCACUUUUUGCAGNNNNNAAUUCGCAUAGGAUACUACCCUGUGAGGAUGACGGUACCUGCAGAAUAAGCACCGGCUAACGACGUGCUAGCAGCCGCGGUAAUACGUAGGGUGCAAGCGUUAAUCGGAAUUACUGGGCGUAAAGCGUGCGCAGGCGGUUAGGAAAGAAAGAUGUGAAAUCCCAGGGCUUAACCUUGGAACUGCAUUUUUAACUACCGGGCUAGAGUGUGUCAGAGGGAGGUGGAAUUCCGCGUGUAGCAGUGAAAUGCGUAGAUAUGCGGAGGAACACCGAUGGCGAAGGCAGCCUCCUGGGAUAACACUGACGCUCAUGCACGAAAGCGUGGGGAGCAAACA